CAGUAGCCACGGGAAUACGAAGGGGGCUAGCGUUGUUCGGAUUUACUGGGCGUAAAGGGCGCGUAGGCGGACUGAUAAGUCAGGGGUGAAAUCCCAAGGCUCAACCUUGGAACUGCCUUUGAUACUGUUUGUCUUGAGUUCGAGAGAGGUAAGUGGAACUGCGAGUGUAGAGGUGAAGUUCGUAGAUAUUCGCAAGAACACCAGUGGUGAAGGCGGCUUACUGGCUCGAAACUGACGCUGAGGCGCGAAAGCGUGGGGAGCAAACAGGAUUAGAUACCCCCGUAGUCCCUGUCUCUUAUAC
rnacentral:rRNA from 1 species